rnacentral:rRNA from 1 species
GAUGAACGCUGGCGGCGUGCCUAAUACAUGCAAGUCGAGCGAACAGACGAGGAGCUUGCUCCUCUGACGUUAGCGGCGGACGGGUGAGUAACACGUGGAUAACCUACCUAUAAGACUGGGAUAACUUCGGGAAACCGGAGCUAAUACCGGAUAAUAUAUUGAACCGCAUGGUUCAAUAGUGAAAGACGGUUUCGCUGUCACUUAUAGAUGGAUCCGCGCCGCAUUAGCUAGUUGGUAAGGUAACGGCUUACCAAGGCAACGAUGCGUAGCCGACCUGAGAGGGUGAUCAGCCACACUGGAACUGAGACACGGUCCAGACUCCUACGGGAGGCAGCAGUAGGGAAUCUUCCGCAAUGGGCGAAAGCCUGACGGAGCAACGCCGCGUGAGUGAUGAAGGUCUUCGGAUCGUAAAACUCUGUUAUUAGGGAAGAACAAAUGUGUAAGUAACUAUGCACGUCUUGACGGUACCUAAUCAGAAAGCCACGGCUAACUACGUG